GAUAUUGCGACAAUGUUCGAAAGCCUGACGCAGCAACGCCGCGUGCGGGAGGACGGCCUUCGGGUUGUAAACCGCUUUUCGAGGGGAAGAGGCAGGACGGUACCCUCGGACUAAGUCUCUGCUAACCACGUUCCUGCAUCCGCGGUAAAACGUAGGAGGCGAGCGUUAUCCGGAUUUACUGGGUGUACAGCGCGUGCAGGCGGCCGCGCAAGUCGUGCGUGAAAGCGCCCGGCUCAACCGGGCGAGGUCGUGCGAAACUGCGGGGCUUGAGGCAGGUAGAGGCGUGUGGAAUUCCGGGUGUAGUAGUGAAAUGCGUAGAGAUCCGGAGGAACACCAGUGGCGAAGGCGGCACGCUGGGCCUGGCCUGACGCUCAGACGCGAAAGCAUGGGGAGCGAACGGG
rnacentral:rRNA from 1 species